UUCUAGAUUUUGGAAUUGUUCUGGUUCUCCACUAUGCCUUGUUUGUGAAACUUUGAUGCUUGAUCGAGUGAUCUAGUCUUCGUGAACACCAGCAGAUCUACUCUUCGGUUCUGCCCUCGGAGCAAUUCCGAAUCCCUGCACCUCGAGCUCCGGAAGGACGCGAUCCGCGACGAGAUCGUCAGAUUCAGCCAAGAGCAAGAUCACCAGAGAGAGCGAUCGAGAGGGAGAAGCACCGAUCCGGCCGGUCAAAUCCGGCGAGAGAAUCCCCGAUCGAGAGAGUCACCGAUCGAACUCCAGAGAGAAAGAGCGAGAGCCAGAACUGAGAGAAAA
rnacentral:lncRNA from 1 species